rnacentral:rRNA from 1 species
GACGAACGCUGGCGGCGUGCCUAAUACAUGCAAGUAGAACGCUGAAGGAGGAGCUUGCUUCUCUGGAUGAGUUGCGAACGGGUGAGUAACGCGUAGGUAACCUGCCUGGUAGCGGGGGAUAACUAUUGGAAACGAUAGCUAAUACCGCAUAAUAGUAGAUGUUGCAUGACAUUUGCUUAAAAGGUGCAAUUGCAUCACUACCAGAUGGACCUGCGUUGGAUUAGCUAGUUGGUGGGGUAACGGCUCACCAAGGCGACGAUACAUAGCCGACCUGAGAGGGUGAUCGGCCACACUGGGACUGAGACACGGCCCAGACUCCUACGGGAGGCAGCAGUAGGGAAUCUUCGGCAAUGGACGGAAGUCUGACCGAGCAACGCCGCGUGAGUGAAGAAGGUUUUCGGAUCGUAAAGCUCUGUUGUAAGAGAAGAACGAGUGUGAGAGUGGAAAGUUCACACUGUGACGGUAUCUUACCAGAAAGGGACGGCUAACUACGUG